UGGGGAAUAUUGGACAAUGGGCGCAAGCCUGAUCCAGCCAUGCCGCGUGAGUGAUGACGGCCCUAGGGUUGUAAAGCUCUUUCGCCAAGGAUGAUAAUGACAGUACUUGGUAAAGAAGCCCCGGCUAACUUCGUGCCAGCAGCCGCGGUAAUACGAAGGGGGCUAGCGUUGUUCGGAAUUACAGGGCGUAAAGCGCGCGUAGGCGGAUUGUUAAGUCAGGGGUGAAAUCCCGGGGCUCAACCCCGGAACUGCCUUUGAUACUGGCAAUCUUGAGUUCGAGAGAGGUGAGUGGAAUUCCGAGUGUAGAGGUGAAAUUCGUAGAUAUUCGGAGGAACACCAGUGGCGAAGGCGGCUCACUGGCUCGAUACUGACGCUGAGGUGCGAAAGCGUGGGGAGCAAACAGGAUUAGAUACCCGCGUA
rnacentral:rRNA from 1 species